rnacentral:rRNA from 1 species
GAUGAACGCUGGCGGCGUGCCUAAUACAUGCAAGUCGAGCGAACGGACGAGAAGCUUGCUUCUCUGAUGUUAGCGGCGGACGGGUGAGUAACACGUGGAUAACCUACCUAUAAGACUGGGAUAACUUCGGGAAACCGGAGCUAAUACCGGAUGAUAUUUUGAACCGCAUGGUUCAAAAGUGAAAGACGGUCUUGCUGUCACUUAUAGAUGGAUCCGCGCUGCAUUAGCUAGUUGGUAAGGUAACGGCUUACCAAGGCAACGAUGCAUAGCCGACCUGAGAGGGUGAUCGGCCACACUGGAACUGGGCCACGGUCCAGACUCCUACGGGAGGCAGCAGUAGGGAAUCUUCCACAAUGGGCGAAAGCCUGACGGAGCAACGCCGCGUGAGUGAUGAAGGUCUUCGGAUCGUAAAACUCUGUUAUUAGGGAAGAACAUAUGUGUAAGUAACUGUGCACAUCUUGACGGUACCUAAUCAGAAAGCCACGGCUAACUACGUG